rnacentral:rRNA from 1 species
UUGACCUCAAAUCAGGUAGGACUACCCGCUGAACUUAAGCAUAUCAAUAAGCGGAGGAAAAGAAACUAACAAGGAUUCCCCUAGUAACUGCGAGUGAAGCGGGAAAAGCUCAAAUUUAAAAUCUGGCGGUCUCCGGCCGUCCGAGUUGUAAUCUAGAGAAGUGUUAUCCGCGCUGGACCGUGUACAAGUCUCCUGGAAUGGAGCGUCAUAGAGGGUGAGAAUCCCGUCUUUGACACGGACUGCCAGGGCUUUGUGAUGCGCUCUCAAAGAGUCGAGUUGUUUGGGAAUGCAGCUCAAAAUGGGUGGUAAAUUCCAUCUAAAGCUAAAUAUUGGCGAGAGACCGAUAGCGAACAAGUACCGUGAGGGAAAGAUGAAAAGA